UGGGGAAUAUUGCACAAUGGGCGCAAGCCUGAUGCAGCCAUGCCGCGUGUAUGAAGAAGGCCUUCGGGUUGUAAAGUACUUUCAGCGGGGAGGAAGGGAGAAAAGUUAAUACCUUUGCUCAUUGACGUUACCCGCAGAAGAAGCACCGGCUAACUCCGUGCCAGCAGCCGCGGUAAUACGGAGGGUGCAAGCGUUAAUCGGAAUUACUGGGCGUAAAGCGCACGCAGGCGGUUUGUUAAGUCAGAUGUGAAAUCCCCGGGCUCAACCUGGGAACUGCAUCUGAUACUGGCAAGCUUGAGUCUCGUAGAGGGGGGUAGAAUUCCAGGUGUAGCGGUGAAAUGCGUAGAGAUCUGGAGGAAUACCGGUGGCGAAGGCGGCCCCCUGGACGAAGACUGACGCUCAGGUGCGAAAGCGUGGGGAGCAAACAGG
rnacentral:rRNA from 1 species